GCCCCUGUCGUUCAGCUUGGAUAGGACGCCAGGUUGCGGACCUGGAAACCGGAGUUCAAAUCUCCGCAGGGGCG
rnacentral:tRNA from 1 species